GCUAAGAUAGAUUAAAUUCAAAUCAUACCACUGAAGAUGGUAGAAUAGUAACGCUGCUUCUUAACAA
rnacentral:tRNA from 1 species